AUUGAACGCUGGCGGCAGGCCUAACACAUGCAAGUCGAACGAGUGGCGGACGGGUGAGUAAUGUCUGGGAAACUGCCUGAUGGAGGGGGAUAACUACUGGCAACGGUAGCUAAUACCGCAUACCAUCAGAUGUGCCCAGAUGGGAUUAGCUAGUUGGUGGUGGAACGGCUCACCAAGGCGACGCUCCCUAGCUGGGCGGAGGGGAUGACCAGCCACACUGGAACUGAGACACGGUCCAGCCUCCUACGGGAGGCAGCGGUGGGGAAUAUUGCACACUGGGCGCAAGCCUGAUGCCGCCCUGCCGCGUGUAUGAAGAAGGCCUUCGGGUUGUAAAGUACUUUCAGCGGGGAGGCGUUACCCGCAGAGGAAGCAACGGCUAACUCCGUGCCAGCAGCCGCGGUAAUUC
rnacentral:rRNA from 1 species